UUGUCAUUAUUACAAAUAAAUAAAAGUAUCGGCCGAUUAAUUGGUAUCGGCUUUUUUGGUCCUCCAAUAAUCGGUAUCGGUAUCAGCGUUGAAAAAUCAGAAUUGGCCGACCUCUACUACAGACAGACUGCUUCCCUCUGGCUGACGGUCAUACCCUCUUCAGCUCUGGUUCUGUCCGUCAACAUAUACCCUCUAUGCUCUGGUUCUGUCCGUCAACAUAUACCCUCUCCAGCUCUGGUUCUGUCUGUCAACACAUACCCUCUCCAGCUCUGGUUCUGUCCGUCAACAUAUACCCUCUCCAGCUCUGGUUCUGUCCGUCAACAUAUACCCUCUCUAGCUCUGGUUCUGUCCGUCAACAUAUACCCUCUCCAGCUCUGGUUCUGUCCGUCAACAUAUACCAUCUCCAGCUCUGGUUCUGUCCGUCAACAUAUACCCUCUCCAGCUCUGGUUCUGUCCGUCAACAUAUACCCUCUCCAGCUCUGGUUCUGUCCGUCAACAUAUACCCUCUCCAGGUCUGGUUCUGUCUGUCAACAUAUACCCUCUCCAGCUCUGGUUUUGUCCGUCAACAUAUACCCUCUCCAGCUCUGGUUCUGUCCGUCAACAUAUACCCUCUCCAGCUCUGGUUCUGUCUGUCAACACAUACCCUCUCCAGCUCUGGUUCUGUCCGUCAACAUAUACCCUCUCCAGCUCUGGUUCUGUCCGUCAACAUAUACCCUCUCUAGCUCUGGUUCUGUCCGUCAACAUAUACCCUCUCCAGCUCUGGUUCUGUCCGUCAACAUAUACCAUCUCCAGCUCUGGUUCUGUCCGUCAACAUAUACCCUCUCCAGCUCUGGUUCUGUCCGUCAACAUAUACCCUCUCCAGCUCUGGUUCUGUCCGUCAACAUAUACCCUCUCCAGCUCUGGUUCUGUCCGUCAACAUAUACCCUCUCUAGCUCUGGUUCUGUCCGUCAACAUAUACCCUCUCCAGCUCUGGUUCUGUCCGUCAACAUAUACCCUCUCCAGCUCUGGUUCUGUCCGUCAACACAUACCCUCUCCAGCUCUGGUUCUGUCCGUCAACACAUACCCUCUCCAGCUCUGGUUCUGUCCGUCAACACAUACCCUCUUCAGCUCUGGUUCUGUCCGUCAACACAUACCCUCUUCAGCUCUGGUUCUGUCCGUCAACACAUACCCUCUUCAGCUCUGGUUCUGUCCGUCAACAUAUACCCUCUCCAGCUCUGGUUGUGUCCGUCAACAUAUACCCUCUCCAGCUCUGGUUCUGUCUGUCAACAUAUACCCUCUCCAGCUCUGGUUCUGUCCGUCAACAUAUACCCUCUCCAGCUCUGGUUGUGUCCGUCAACAUAUACCAUCUCCAGCUCUGGUUCUGUCUGUCAACAUAUACCCUCUCCAGCUCUGGUUGUUGGUUUGAACCACGUCUAG
rnacentral:lncRNA from 8 species